UCCUGCCAGUAGUCAUAUGCUUGUCUCAAAGAUUAAGCCAUGCAUGUGUAAGUAUAAGUAUUGUACAGCGAAACUGCGAAUGGCUCAUUAAAACAGUUAUAGUUUAUUUGAUAAUCGAAAGUUACAUGGAUAACCGUGACAAAUUACAGCUAAUACAUGCAACAAGACCUCUAUGAGGUUGUAAUUAUUAGUACUAAACCAUUUGCUUCGGCAUUGUGAUGAAUCAUAGUAAUCGAACGAAUCGCAGAAUUCUGCGAUAAAUCAUUCAAGUUUCUGCCCUAUCAGCUUUGGAUGGUAGUGUAUUGGACUACCAUGGCAAUCACGGGUAACGGAGAAUUAGGGGUUCGAUUCCGGGAGAGGGAGCCUGAGAAACGGCUACCACAUCUACGGAAGGCAGCAGGCGCGAAAAUUGCCCAAUCCUGAUUCAGGGAGGCAGUGACAAGAAAUAACAACUCUCAACUUGUUGAGUAAGUGUAAUGAGGAUAA
rnacentral:rRNA from 1 species